rnacentral:rRNA from 1 species
AUGCCGGACAUUGUGGGAGCUCACCAGAGCGCGUUCAUACAAGGGAGGUGCCUCCAUGACAACUACAUGCUUGUGCAAAGCACUGUCAGAUGGCUACAAUUGGCCAAAAGGCCCGCGCUUAUGCUAAAGCUCGACAUAACUAAG